GUUCUUAACUUUGGCCAACUCCUUCAGUUAUCUCACUUUGUUCCAAUGUUCCAAACCCUAGUAGAGUGAACCCUUAUGCGCCGCCGCCAACUCACUCCUUCUCCUCCGUUUUCACCAGUCGUGAGUCGUCAUCUCAUCCAUCCACCUCGUCGAACUCAAAGCACCUACCCAUCCAUCUCCUCCAUUUUCUUCGUGUUCGAUUUCUUUAUUGGGUUUUUCGUUUUAAGUUUUUACAACUCUUUACGAUUUUGCUUUUUUUUUUUUUUUUAUCAUGGAAUACAUAAGAAGAAAGAUAUAAAGAUCCUCAUGGCUGAGGAACAAGAGGCUACGCUUGUUUGUGAAGUUGAAGGUAGACAAAGAUCGACAUGAUAAAUAAUAAUCAUCAGAUCUACAAAUUUCUCUUCAGAUCUAUAUGGUUUGGUGAAAACAAUAGAUGCUUUUUUGUUUGUGAAGAAGCAACAUCUCCAUGUUUCUCAAGUUUUUUUCCUGGUCUUAAAAGCUCAUUGUGUGACACACUUCAUUGUAUGCAAGAAGCUUCUUGAUAAGAGGAUAGAAAAUUGAUUUUUGUUGAUCAGUAUCAAAUUGUAAAAUUUUAAAUAUAACUUUGUAAUAAUAUUUUAAUUAUACACUUCUAUGUGAUGGUGAAUUAUUGUGUAUAUUUAAAUCAAUCGAACUAUAACUAAUAUUGGACAACAAAAAUUGUCCAAUUUGAAUCUUAUAGGAAAAAAAUGACAGCAAAAUGAUACGAAAUAAAAAAUGAUCAUUUUAGAAAAAUGCCAAAGUUGAAUUGUUAUUGGUCAAAAUUGAGUUGUUACAAAAAGUCCAAAAUUGGGCUGUUACAAAAAAAACUUUAAAAUUGGGCCAUUAAAAAAAGUCAAUUAAACAAAAAAAAGAAAAAAAAAUUGGGCUUCAAUUGGCCCAACCCGUAAAAACCAUCCGUUUUGACCCAAACCCGUUUGGCCCGUAACCGAACAAACCGAGG